rnacentral:rRNA from 1 species
AUGGCGUUGGACUGCCAGUUCUGGCCCCAGUUGCGGGACAUGGGCAUCCACCCGGUGCUGGACCCCUUCACGCUGGCCCGCACCAGGUCCCCCGCCCCCGCCACGUUCGUGAUCAGCACCAGGUUGAAGUACCUGAACCCGUUGAUCGUGAACCGCACCCCGCCCGACUUCCGGCACGCCACCCUUUACCGGCGGUAG